GCCCUUAAAUUAAUUAAAGGUGUAACCUGCCCAAUGAUUGUAAAAUCAAAAGUUUUAAAACAACUUUACUACAAUUUAAAGGACGCGGUAUCUUGACCGUGGUAAUGUAGCAUAAUCACUCGCCACUUAAUUGGUGGAUAGUAUGAAUGGUUGAACGAAUAUAACACUGUCUCAGGUAAAGGCUUUAUAAAAUUGGAUUAAUAGUAAAGAUACUAUUUUAAAUUAUAAGACGAAAAGACCCUAUAGAGCUUAACUAUAAUCUUUUUAAAAAAAUAUAAAUUUAUUUGUAAUAAAAAAAAGACAGGUAGUUUAGUUGGGGCGACUAUCUUCUAAACAAAACGAAGAUAAACAAUAUUAAUAAAAUAAUUUAUUGUAUAAUUAAUAAAUUUAACAAUUACUAAUGUAGGUAAUAAUGACCCGUUUUCAUUUCAGAAUAAAGAAAACGAUCAAUUGAUAAAAGCUACCUUAGGGAUAACAGGAUAAUUUUAUUCUAGAGAUCUUAUCGAAGAUAAAGUUUGUCACCUCUAUGUUGAAUUAAGAUAUCCUAGUAAUGCAGCAGUUACUAAAGGUAGGUCUGUUCGACCUUUAAAAUCUU
rnacentral:rRNA from 1 species